ACAAGUGAUGUGGAAAAUGAUUCAUUCUUGCCAUCCAAUUGCUCAGGACACUAGAAGGAAGAGACAUUACAGGAAAUUCUGUUUCAGGCCAGCUUGAUCAUUUCUUUCCUUCCCACCGAAGCAAACUUGAUGCAUCAGUCAUCUUUAAUCAAGUUUUGAAGUAUAUGAUGUAUUUUUGUCGAGGAAAUGCUGGUCUUUUGUCUUAGCCUAUCACGUCUGGACAUACAGCUCAAUUAGCCCCAUUGGUCCUGCUUUUUAUCUUCAAUAAUGCAAAGAAAUACAGGAGUGAUGAACGUUCUCAAUACCCUUCAUUCUAUCAUAUCCUACGAGAAAAUGACAUGACAUAUAUGUGGGUUCACUGCAGAAAUGUUCAUGUCCUAUAUGCUUGUUAGAAAUGUUACCUUUUACUGAUGGAUUUAAUCAAUUUAACCAUAUAAAGGAGUGAAGAGCUCGACCGGGAGGGAGAUGGAUUUCAAUCAAGUAACUGAUAAACCUCAUGCUGUUUACAUACCAUUCCCAGCUCAGGGUCACAUAACCCCAAUGCUAAUAAAGCUAGCAACACUCUUACAUUUUAAAGGCUUCCACAUAACCUUUGUCAAUACUGAUUAUAACCACAAACGAUUACUCAAAUCCAGAGGUUCCAGCUCUCUGGAUCGCUUAACGGACUUUCAUUUUGAAGCUAUACCUGAUGGCCUUCCAGAGACAGACGAAUCUGAUGCCACCCAUGACAUCCCUUCAGCCUUCGAAUCCACUGCAUAAUACUGCUUGGUUCCUGUGUUGUUUCUACUUUACAGGCUCAAUGACAGUACUUUCUGUCCCAAAGUCCCGCCGGUGACCUGUGUUGUUUCUGAUGGUGGUAUGUCCUUCACACUUGAUGCUACUGAAGAAUUUUGAAUUCCUAACUUGCUGUUCCAUACACAUAGUGCCUGUCGGUUCUUUUGUCUUAGCCUAUCACGUCUGGACAUACAGCUCAAUUAGCCCCAUUGGUCCUGCUUUUUAUCUUCAAUAAUGCAAAGAAAUACAGGAGUGAUGAACGUUCUCAUAACCCUUCAUUCUAUCAUAUCCUACGAGAAAAUGACAUGAAAUAUACGUGGGUUCGCUGCAGAAAUGUUCAUGUCCUAUAUGCUUGUUAGAAAUGUUACCUUUUACUGAUGGAUUGAAUCAAUUUAAC
rnacentral:lncRNA from 1 species